AAAUAAUUAUAUUUAUUUAUUUUAUAUUUUGAGCCUUUAAGGUAAUGACAUAAUAACUCUAAAAGCAAGGAUUUAGAAGAUUUAAAUCUUUAAUUAAAUAUUUUCAUUCCUAAAUAAUUAAUGUCAGUGUCAUGAGAUUGUAAAUAAGUUCAAAUACAUGAUUUAUUUAUUUAAACAAAAAAUGUUUAGUAAGAAUAAUAUUUGUUUUAACAAAAAACUUUGUUUUAAAAUAUUGUUAACAAAUAUGUUUAUGCUAAUUUUAAGGGUUAAAUUUGAUUGAUAAUGUGGUUGACAAUUUAAAUC
rnacentral:sRNA from 1 species